rnacentral:rRNA from 1 species
UCAUUGGUAGCCUCAUCGCCAUGAUCAUGCCCAGUCUCAUUUGGUCUCAGAAGCUAAGCAGGGGCAAAUCUGGUUAGUACUUGGCUAAGGGAUCUCCUGAGAAUACCAGGUGGUUGCAUGAG